ACGAUGAUGCCCAGCUUUGCUGGGUGGAUUAGUGGCGAACGGGUGAGUAACACGUGAGUAACCUGCCCCUGACUCUGGGAUAAGCGUUGGAAACGACGUCUAAUACUGGAUAUGACUACUGGUCGCAUGGCCUGGUGGUGGAAAGAUUUUUUGGUUGGGGAUGGACUCGCGGCCUAUCAGCUUGUUGGUGAGGUAAUGGCUCACCAAGGCGACGACGGGUAGCCGGCCUGAGAGGGUGACCGGCCACACUGGGACUGAGACACGGCCCAGACUCCUACGGGAGGCAGCAGUGGGGAAUAUUGCACAAUGGGCGAAAGCCUGAUGCAGCAACGCCGCGUGAGGGAUGACGGCCUUCGGGUUGUAAACCUCUUUUAGUAGGGAAGAAGCGAAAGUGACGGUACCUGCAGAAAAAGCACCGGCUAACUACGUGCCAGCAGCCGCGGUAAUACGUAGGGUGCAAGCGUUGUCCGGAAUUAUUGGGCGUAAAGAGCUCGUAGGCGGUUUGUCGCGUCUGCUGUGAAAUCCCGAGGCUCUACCUCGGGCUUGCAGUGGGUACGGGCAGACUACAGUGCGGGAGGGGAGAUUGAUAUUCUGUUGUAGCGGGGAGUGCGCAGAUACUCGAUGAUCACCGAUGAUACAG
rnacentral:rRNA from 1 species